rnacentral:rRNA from 1 species
GACGAACGCUGGCGGCGUGCCUAAUACAUGCAAGUAGAACGCUGAAGAGAGGAGCUUGCUCUUCUUGGAUGAGUUGCGCACGGGUGAGUAACGCGUAGGUAACCUGCCUUGUAGCGGGGGAUAACUAUUGGAAACGAUAGCUAAUACCGCAUAACAAUGGAUGACACAUGUCAUUUAUUUGAAAGGGGCAAUUGCUCCACUACAAGAUGGACCUGCGUUGUAUUAGCUAGUAGGUGAGGUAAUGGCUCACCUAGGCGAGGAUACAUAGCCGGCCUGGGAGGGUGGUCGGCCCCCCUGGGAAUGGGACACGGCCCAGACGCCUUCGGGAGGCAGCCGUAGGGAAUCUUCGGCAAUGGGGGCAACCCUGACCGAGCAACGCCGCGUGAUGGAAGAAGGGUUUCGGGUCGUAAAGCUCUGUUGUAAGUCAAGAACGGGUGUGAGAGUGGAAAGUUCACACUGUGACGGUAGCGUACCAGAAAGGGACGGCUAACUACGUG